rnacentral:rRNA from 1 species
UACAGAGGGGGCAAGCGUUGUUCGGAAUUACUGGGCGUAAAGGGCGCGUAGGCGGCCCGCUAAGUCGAACGUGAAAUCCCCGAGCUUAACUCGGGAACUGCGUCCGAUACUGGUGGGCUUGAAUCCGGGAGAGGGAUGCGGAAUUCCAGGUGUAGCGGUGAAAUGCGUAGAUAUCUGGAGGAACACCGGUGGCGAAGGCGGCAUCCUGGACCGGCAUUGACGCUGAGGCGCGAAAGCUAGGGGAGCAAACGGG